GCGGCGCCCUACGGGAGGCAGCAGUGGGGAAUAUUGCACAAUGGGCGCAAGCCUGAUGCAGCCAUGCCGCGUGUAUGAAGAAGGCCUUCGGGUUGUAAAGUACUUUCAGCGGGGAGGAAGGCGAUGCGGUUAAUAACCUUGUCGAUUGACGUUACCCGCAGAAGAAGCACCGGCUAACUCCGUGCCAGCGCCGCGGUAAUUG
rnacentral:rRNA from 1 species